UUCAGCAAAUAUAUAUAUACUGAUACUAAGUCGAGUGAAUAACUAAAAUAAAAAUACGUUGGUGCAGUGUGGUUAUCCUACGGUCACCAAGGUUUUAAACUUGUAAAAUCUUGAUACAAGAUAUGUUAUAUUUAUCAGUGUAGUGUGUAACUAGCAUUAUUCACAUGUCAUCAAAUUAACUAAUUAGUACUAGUAGCCUGGGAGUGUACCGUGACAUUUCAGCUUAGGCUAAGUGGCUCUUUCUCUCUCCUAGUACUAUUACCCAUUCUGAACCGAACCAACACACACACUAGUACUAGUGCAGCCAGAACACAAGUAGUACACGCAUGCCCUCCUCUGUUUCUUCUACACCUUGCCCAGAUCGAGCAGCACGCCAGCGACGGGAAAGAUGCUGCUCCGCCGCUGCCGGAUCCUCAAAUCUCUCUCUCUCUCUCUCUCUCUCUCUCUCUCUCUCUCUCUCUCUGAUGUAAAUCCCCAUAUGUCCCCCAUGGAUUCAUCCCUAACCCUCAAAUCCUCCUCUGAUUUUGGCUUGCAGGUGAGGCUCUCGUUGGGAUGUGAUUCCGCUGCUCCAGAUCGAAGUCGCCGGCUUGGGCGCCGCCGUGAUGCUGGAUGGUGCAGGUCAGAGCUCCAGUGCGUGGCCAUGGAGCAGAUCGAACAUAUGUGCAGAUAGAAAGAUGAAGAAAGUGGGAGGAAGACAAGCUGCAGGUUUGGCUAUUUGGGGAAGAAUGGAGAUGUGUGAAGUCUUGGCAAUGGCUUGCUCUGCUCUCUCUCCUUUUAAUAUCAGAAAACCAUCUUCCUUGGCUGGUAUGGCUUCCCAUCCCCUUCUCCAUUGUUCUCACAGGUGCUAGCUUGUAAUUGGCUGAAGGUUGAAGCCCAUACAUAGACUAUAAUGUUGAACAAUUGACUAUUAAUCUAUUGUGCACGUGAGAGUGGUGGUUAGUGUGUCUCAAAUGUGUCAUGUUGUCCUAGUUGACUCAAAGAUAUUUUGUGUUGGUCUAAGUUUGGUCUGGCAUUGUUGUAUAGGUUAACAUAGUUUGGUCUUCCUAUAUUUUUUUUUCAAAGAUUUGUAGUACACCUGUACAACUGUACUGUUUGAGGUGUAUGGAUAUAAAUAUAUAUAUUUGAGUGGUUAUGCUUGUUGAA